rnacentral:tRNA from 1 species
GCUAUUUUAGUUUAGUUUAGAAUUUGUAACUUGUAAUUACAAGGUUUGUUUAGCA